rnacentral:rRNA from 1 species
GAUGAAUGCUGGCGGCGUGCCUAAUACAUGCAAGUCGAGCGAACGGACGAGAAGCUUGCUUCUCUGAUGUUAGCGGCGGACGGGUGAGUAACACGUGGAUAACCUACCUAUAAGACUGGGAUAACUUCGGGAAACCGGAGCUAAUACCGGAUAAUAUUUUGAACCGCAUGGUUCAAAAGUGAAAGACGGUCUUGCUGUCACUUAUAGAUGGAUCCGCGCUGCAUUAGCUAGUUGGUAAGGUAACGGCUUACCAAGGCAACGAUGCAUAGCCGACCUGAGAGGGUGAUCGGCCACACUGGAACUGAGACACGGUCCAGACUCCUGCGGGAGGCAGCAGUAGGGAAUCUUCCGCAAUGGGCGAAAGCCUGACGGAGCAACGCCGCGUGAGUGAUGAAGGUCUUCGGAUCGUAAAACUCUGUUAUUAGGGAAGAACAUAUGUGUAAGUAACUGUGCACAUCUUGACGGUACCUAAUCAGAAAGCCACGGCUAACUACGUG